CUCUCUCUCACCCCGUCUCGCUCUUCUCUCCCACUCCGUUAGACGAAUUACAAAGACGAAGGAAGACAGCAGCCACUACCCACCCAUCUGCUUCUCCUCCGCUCCACCCUCCGUCGGCGUUUUGGGCGUUUUACCUGAUAGGGAUGUGCACCACCAGUAGAGCCGCGACUUGUGGUACGCAUUCAACCGAGAGUCACACACUGACACAAGUACACUAUUUGCCUGUAAUCUUCGUCUCCGCACAACACACAUACGUGGGUCGUAACACCAAGUGGGUUAGGUUCUGGUGGGAAAAAUUACCCUUAUGGGGUUUUUCCCAGAAGGGUUUAGUGAGCUAUGGCGGUAGGAG